rnacentral:rRNA from 1 species
AUUGUAUCCACGAUUGGGGAAUUUUCCGCAAUGGGCGAAAGCCUGACGGAGCAAUACCGCGUGAGGGAGGAAGGCUCUUGGGUUGUAAACCUCUUUUCUCAGGGAAGAAGAAUGACGGUACCUGAGGAAUCAGCAUCGGCUAACUCCGUGCCAGCAGCCGCGGUAAUACGGAGGAUGCAAGCGUUAUCCGGAAUUAUUGGGCGUAAAGCGUCUGUAGGUGGACGUUCAAGUCUGCUGUCAAAGACCGGGGCUUAACCCUGGAAAGGCGGUGGAAACUGAAAGUCUAGAGUGCGGUAGGGGUAGAGGGAAUUCCCAGUGUAGCGGUGAAAUGCGUAGAGAUUGGGAAGAACACCGGUGGCGAAAGCGCUCUGCUGGGCCUGCACUGACACUGAUGGACGAAAGCUAGGGGAGCGAAUGGGAUUAGAUACCCCAGUAGUCAAUCGUGGAUACAAU